AGGACUUACCCAGCAGGCCCCGCGGCAGCCUCGGUCAAGAUGGCGGGCCGGUCAGUUGCAGCAUCAAGCCGGUGGCUGGAGGGCAUUCGGAAGUGGUAUUACAAUGCUGCAGGGUUCAAUAAACUGGGGUUAAUGCGAGACGAUACAAUAUACGAAAAUGAGGAUGUGAAGGAGGCCAUAAGAAGGCUUCCUGAGAACCUUUACAAUGACAGGAUGUUCCGCAUUAAGAGGGCGCUGGACCUGACCAUGAGGCAUCAGAUCUUGCCUAAGGAGCAGUGGACGAAAUACGAGGAGGAUAAAUUCUACCUUGAACCUUAUCUGAAAGAAGUUAUUCGAGAAAGAAAAGAGAGAGAAGAAUGGGCAAAGAAAUAAUCAUGGUGUUGAAAUCUGUGGUUGCAGCUGCCCUCAAAUACUUCGAAGAAGUUGGGUAAACGUGAAAUGUACAAUUUUGGAACUAUUUGAGCUGCUAAUGUAUUACUUUAAAUAAAUGUCUACUGUAGUUAUUAUUGGAGUGUUUGAAUUCUAAAUCUUAUUCUGGAUAAGCACUAAAUUUACAUAUUAAAAUUAUUUCUAGACUCCUAAAAUAUUUUUUAGUGUUUUACUGCUUGCUGAAGCUCAGGGAGGUCACUUUAAUCAACUUGCCUCACUGGUUGGGUAACGUCUUAAUUUAUUGAAGGAUGCGAGAUUCUUGCAAGAAUAGUUGCCUUUGUAUUUCCUUUGUAAAUUAGCAGGAUACGUAGAAGCCACCUAACUCGGCAGGGCUGGAGGAGAGCAAGGAGCAAGUGCCGUUGACUUUACUGUGUGUGAAGCAAACCGCACUCUAGCAGGUUGGCUCAGACUGCACAAGUUACCCAAUGAAACGAGAGAGGGCUCACCCCCUAGUUUGCCAGGAUUGGGAAACAGCCUUCCCCAACCACUGCUCUCUGGAUAGUACUGAUUUUACAUCCUGUCCUUUUUAAAAGAUUAUGUAUGUGGUCCUAGUGUGGGUCUGUGUAGGUUACAUAAGUGUGUUCUUGUGUUGAUGGGUGUAUUAGAAAACAAAAACUAGACAUUAAAUUGACAAAAAUACAAAGUAAAAGUGUUAAGGUUAUAAUUUUAAAUAUACUAAAUUAGAACCAUUCAGUAACGUCAUUCCCACCCCUAAAUUCUAAAAUGCUUCAGCAGGGGCACCUGGGUGGCCAGCAGUUGAGCAUCUGCCUUCCUCUCAGGGUGCGAUCCCGGGGUUUGGGUUGCCUACUUCCCCCUCUUCCUGUGUCUCUGCCUCUCUCAGUGUCUCGUGAACAAAUAAAUAAAAUAUUAAAAAAUAAAAUUAAAAUUAAAAAUGCUUCAGCAUUAGGAGCUGUGUAGGACCUGCAACCUGUGCAGGGUUCCAUGAGCCUCUGCUGUGUGCGGAGAGAGCAUCCGAUUGGGAUCCUCCCUCAGAAUGGAACAACAGUGAAAAGCAAGUUUGGUGUUACGUUUAAAAUAUAUAUACACACCUAUGUUUACAAAUGUGUUAUGAUGUUUGAGAGUCAUUGGAGUUUUACAAUAUGAAUAAAACUGUCUUAAAUCUUUUGUUAAAAUAUCAGAAAACCUCAUUAAGCUCUCAGAGCCUUCUCUUUCAGAAUAUUUUCUGAAAUACCUAAUCAUUGGCAAUUUUCUUCGCUCUGGUCCAAGUUACCUGGCUCCUCAUUUGGUAAUGGUUUUGGUCCUGGUAAAAGCAGUUCUCCUGUAACAUAACAUUCGUGGUUUGACUUUGCAAUCCACUUGACAGUAUCACAGACGCUAGUGUCCGGGAAUGGUUUAGUGCGGGACUAUAGGUAGGAUUAGUUGAUUAUUAAGAUUUUUGUGUCCACAUGCUUCCUUACCGGGCCUAAUGAGGCCCCUCAGAUAAUUUCUCAGACGACCAAGGACCGCCCAGUGUUGCAGCGAUUCAGUUUCUUUCCUCACACUUUUCCAAAUAAAUCUGAAGCUCACACAUUGCUGAUAGGUGUUAGAAGCAUAAGAGUCAUUUGGAUCUCGUUUUGGCAACAUGUGUCAAGAACUGCAAAAUCUUAAGUAAUUGCAGUAGCAGCCACCAUUAUGUCGAGCGCUUGCGAUCACUGCACGUGAGGCACUGUGCAAGUACUUCAUGGUCACUGAUCCCACAGUGAUGCGGCCACAUAGGAUUAUCACUCCUUAGUGAAUGAGGAAACCAAGGCUUGCUUACGUUACAGCUGGCCCAAGGUCACGCGUCCACAACAGUAACGUUUUAUUUAUGGGGAUAGUUUUAAAACUUGGAAACUUGUGAUAUUAUAUAAGGAAAGACAGCGGUGGUUAUAUUUUUAGUGAAUAAGGGUGGUUUUGUAGUUUUCCUUUUCUCUGAUAGCCUUUCCUUUUCUCUUGUUAUAAUUGAGUAGCAAACACCUUUACAAUAGAAAAGGCAACAGCAGGUAUUGGUGUUCUUGGCACAAAAGCUGUAGGUCAGAGGGUCUCUUGCGUUGCUUGAGCCCCUGACCCCAGGCACUCUUACUGGUGAAACGGUAGCUAGCAAUAAGCCUGAAUAAUUCUGGAACAUGUUCAGGCUGAAUAAGGAAGACUGGAUGAGGAACCGCAGGCCGGCGGUGCCCUGGUAUUUCUCUUGUUGCCAGUGAACUUGCACGGCGAGGAUUAGAAACCACCCAGGGGCAGAUCAAGACUCCCUGGAGGUUCUUAAGAAAAAGACCAGGUCACCCUGGGAGGAGGUUUCAACAAAGUCCUGCUUGGCAGAAGAAGGUUGAGAAAAUGGACUGUCCAGGACUCUCUUUUUUUGUUUGUUUGUUUUGUUUCUUUUAAAAAUAUUUUAUUUAUUCAUGAGACACACAGGCAGAGGGAGAAGCAGGCUCCCUGCAGGGAGCCUGACGUGGGACUCGAUCCUGGGACCCCGGGGUCACGCCCUGGGCCGAAGGCAGCACUAAACCCCUGAGCCACCCCGGCACCCCUACCUUAUUCUUUUAAAUGGAGAGGAUAUGCAAGUUCUUUGAAAACCAUAGAACACUCUAUUACUGUUUUUACUGUUGGUGAUAAUUACUAGUAUUGUUCUGUUUGUCAUGAAGAAUAAGAAAGUAGAAACAAUAUUUGGAAAGAAUAGUUGAAGGGGUGAGAGUCUGCUUAAUUGGCCAACGAAAUCCUUUCAUUUGGAAGAGAAGGUCUUUUUGUUACCGGAAGCUGUACUGUUUGAGAAAUCCGCUUGGGAGCAUCUGCCAUACGGAGGCUCAUCGUCCUGCGGACACAGGAGAGGGAUUCAGACAGGAGUCUCCUUACUGUGCAGCUGCAGGACUAUGAUUUCGCCUCUCUCUGCCCCAGUUUCCUCAGCCCUAAAGUGGGGCUCAUGACGGGACCUACUUUACAGGGAUAUCGUGAAAAUUACCCGACUUGGCUGGACGCUGGGCUGGCGGUGAGCUCUAGGAGGCUCAGUUUCCGGGCUCCUCUGCGAAUCCAGGGACAGUAAACAUCCCGGAGGUGCUGCGGACCAUCCAGCCCGGCGGUGGGGCGGCCGAGGCCCGGGUGCUGAGCCCCUUCCCCUUCCCCUUCCCCCCACGGGGCCCUGUCCUUUCCCGGCCGAGGUGCGAGACAGGAGGAAUGGGACGCGUGACAGCUUGAUCGGAGGAGCCCCGCUUCGGCCCUCCCAUCUCCCGCGUCCCCGUUGCCCUCCGGACUGGCAAUGCUUUUCUAAACCGAUGGUGUCUCCCAUCCUGCCGGUUCACUUUGUGCAGUGGGAAAUGCCCGCUAUCCGUAACCGCCCCCGGGUGGCCGUGGGCUUGGGCUUUGACGACACGGUCCCCAGACCUCGAACUAGGCUGGGUUUGCUGACCCCCAGGCGGUCUGCUUUGUGUUCCUGCUCUGCGGAGCCACCAGCAGCUGGCGUGGCUCCCGGUGCUAGCCCGGCCCCACCAACUGGCCCCACCGGCUCCUGGUGGUGGGAAGGCGAGCAAGUGGCCGCGGGGCCCAGGCCCCAAGCACCGACCCCCAGCCGCCGGCAGGGUCUGCCCCUAGCCCCGACGGAGCUCCCGAGCCCCCAACACGCAGGUGAUGUCCUGUGACUGGUGCCCACGUGUUAGUGAAGGAAUCCUCCCUGGCAGCACCACUGCCGGUUUUAAGACUCUAGAAUCGUAAUAAGAUCCCAAGGGCAGAUCUUGAUAAGGACUUCAUGUUUGCCUUCAGGACUCCCUUUUAAGGCAUUAAUUCUGCGCUAAUCCCGACUUGCUCACUCAUAAGAACAAAAACUGAGCCAAAGCCCCAAAGUUCCUAUAGCCAUAAUAAUCCACUCACAUCCCCAAACAUGGUGGGGUUCUGUUAACAUGGACAUCCUGUGUGCCGCGUGGCCUUGAAAAUAACCCAAGUACUUGGAAUUUAAAAGUGCGGUGCGGUGAGCAUCAACACUGUGCUAAGCAAACCCGCGACCUCCUGGCCGGGGAAGGGAAUUGAGGUUCCCCUGCGCGGGCGAUGGGAAUAUUAGGAACGAGGGCAUCACAGGGUAUCACGGAUGAAUGGAGCUGAAGGGCGAAGGACUCCCAGAGCUCCAGGAAACACAAGGAAAGGGGCCCUUCCUAGCAGACGGUACUAAGCUCCGCCACUAGGUGACGACGCACUCCAGCUUUACAGCCUCCAGGUCACCGCGGCCAGUGGAAGAUUUAUCCAUUCUGUGCCCCACCAGCUCCCUCCCCUUCAUUUUUCAGGAUGACAACACCUUAGAGGUUUAUGGCCAUCAGGAGAAUUUACAACUAAGCCAUGUACUGAUGUAAUGAAAUCUAAUAUAUGCUGUGCAAUGAAUUAUGAGAUGUUAUUUAGUUUCAGGAUUUUAUUACUUCAAUCAGUUAUGACCAUAUUUCCUUUUAUAUGAUUGCUCACUCUUUAAACAUACCAGAUGACUGUAUAAGGAACACCUAAUAAAGUCUAUAGAUGUUAAAAUAUCAAUGUUUUAAUUUAUUUGCCAUAAUUUGUUUAAAUUCUGGUUAUACCGGUGUUCAUAUUAAAAGUCAUAACAUGUUAGAAUCCGAGAUCUCAGAUGGGACGGUGCCCCUGAAUUAUAUUUUGCUAGGAAAUGUCACUGUACGUGUUAGCUAAUUGAGCAGGGAAGAAGAACGGGAUCGUUAACAAGGCCGUUCAUUUUCAGCGUAGAUUCCAGAAAGUCUGUUAAUAUUUGAGGGGUUUCUGUAUUAUGACAAACUAUUUAAAUUGUUAUUCUGGAUUCUCGGACUGUAUCUCUCCUACAGUCAAAAGUAUGUAUUAUUUGUUUUACUUUGUAUUCUAAUACAUUUGCCUACUUUUGCAUAAAUGCCAAAAAUGUAAUUUCAAAAUAAAUCCCUGUGAAACUUCUG
rnacentral:lncRNA from 1 species